rnacentral:piRNA from 1 species
UCCAUCCAUGGGGUGGGGGGUGAGUC